UGUUCACAGCAAACCUGAAUACUGCGAAGGAUUUAAAAAUGGAUCAUUUGAAAUGAGCUUCAACAUCUCUACUGUGUUUCUCACAAUCAAAAAGGUGGAAAUAUCUGAUUCUGGACAUUAUUUCUGCGGAUUUUAUUUAAAUGGAUUCGUUCAUCUCAGUGUGGUACAUUUCCAUGUGAAAGGUUUCCAUGAACCAGAUGACAUCACCAGUGAUUGUCAAAAAAAGUUUGAUGUAGACCCGAAGCUGCUGGGUGGGAUUCUGGCUGGU